rnacentral:tRNA from 1 species
UAUUCAUGUAGUUUACUUAAAACAUUUUAUUUUCAUUAAAAAAAAAUUAAUUUUAUGAAUAU